rnacentral:misc_RNA from 1 species
GAAAUGCGAUAAGUAAUGUGAAUUGCAUAAUUCAGUGAAUCAUCGAAUCUUUGAACGCACAUUGCGCCCGCCAGCACUCUGGCGGGCAUGCCUGUUCGAGCGUCAUUUCAACCCUCAGAACCCCUUGCGGGAUCUGGCGUUGGGGAUUGGCAUCCAGCCAGCCCCGAAAUCUAGUGGCGGUCCCUCCGCGACCUCCCCUGUGCAGUAGCGAUACCUCGCAGCGGGACAGCGGUCUGACCACGCCGUAAAACCCCCAACUUCUCAAGGUUGACCUCGAAUCAGGUAGGAAUACCCGCUGAACUUAAGC